GAUCGGAUUGCAUGAUGAAUUACAUGAUGGCAUUUCACUAACUCCGAUAGAGGGGGUUCGUUGCUAACUACCAUGCUGAAUUUGAAUGAAUCUCCAACAUGCUACCUAACCUCUCUAAAGAUGCUUUGAUUGGCUCCUUUAUUGGUGGCUUGAAGGAGUCUCUACAGGUGGAGGUAUUGGCUCAUGAACCUACAUCAAUUUUA
rnacentral:lncRNA from 1 species